UACUCCAGAACCGAAGGAAAGAAAAGAAUGC
rnacentral:piRNA from 1 species